rnacentral:rRNA from 1 species
AGUGAACGCUGGCGGUAGGCCUAACACAUGCAAGUCGAACGGCAGCACAGUAAGAGCUUGCUCUUACGGGUGGCGAGUGGCGGACGGGUGAGGAAUACAUCGGAAUCUACUUUUUCGUGGGGGAUAACGUAGGGAAACUUACGCUAAUACCGCAUACGACCUACGGGUGAAAGCAGGGGAUCUUCGGACCUUGCGCGAUUGAAUGAGCCGAUGUCGGAUUAGCUAGUUGGCGGGGUAAAGGCCCACCAAGGCGACGAUCCGUAGCUGGUCUGAGAGGAUGAUCAGCAACACUGGAAAUGAGACACGGGGCAGACUACUACGGGAGGCAGCAGUGGGGAAUAUUGGACAAUGGGCGCAAGCCUGAUCAAGCCAUACCGCGUGGGUGAAGAAGGCCUUCGGGUUGUAAAGCCCUUUUGUGGGGAAAGAAAAGCAGCAGGUUAAUACCCCGCUGUUCUGACGGUACCCAAAGAAUAAGCACCGGCUAACUUCG